AUUGAACGCUGGCGGCAUGCUUUACACAUGCAAGUCGAGCGGCAGCGCGGGGGCAACCCUGGCGGCGAGCGGCGAACGGGUGAGUAAUAUAUCGGAACGUACCCGGAAAUGGGGGAUAACGUAGCGAAAGUUACGCUAAUACCGCAUAUGCCCUGAGGGGGAAAGUGGGGGAUCGCAAGACCUCACGUUUUCGGAGCGGCCGAUAUCAGAUUAGCUAGUUGGUGAGGUAAAGGCUCACCAAGGCUUCGAUCUGUAGCUGGUCUGAGAGGACGACCAGCCACACUGGGACUGAGACACGGCCCAGACUCCUACGGGAGGCAGCAGUGGGGAAUUUUGGACAAUGGGCGCAAGCCUGAACCAGCCAUG
rnacentral:rRNA from 1 species